rnacentral:rRNA from 1 species
GGAGUAACUGCUCGGUACCUUGACGGUACCUAACCAGAAAGGCCACCGGCUAACUACGUGCCAGCAGCCGCGGUAAUACGUAGGUGGCAAGCGUUGUCCGGAAUUAUUGGGCGUACAGCGCGCGCAGGCCGGUACCUUAAGUCUGAUGUGAAAGCCCCCGGCUCAACCGGGGAGGGU